CUUAUAAAAACUGAUCACCACAGGCAAUAUUAAUGCGAGAUACAAAUAGUGCCGGGAAUUCGCUCUUUAUCUGAUAAGGGACUAAAUAUGAGGUGAAAUUUAGUCAGAAGUUCUAAAGUUUUCCAUCCCAGUUAGAAUCGCAUAUUAAAUGAAGAAGAGGAACACCAGCUGACCACAUUAAGGACGUCGAAAACACCUCGCGGAUGAAUACCAUUUUUUCCGAGACCUCGGUCCUAAAGGCGUUCAAGUUCGGCGGGACAUUUUUUCCAAAUGCGAAGCGAGCUGGAGAGAUAAAAAUGUAAGUUUUUUGUGCAGGUGUCUGCGAGACCCAGGGUCAGAAAAGGGAUGGCACUCAUGGUUUCACAGUUUGAAAUUUAAAAUGGGAAACUACAGGCAAAAAUUAAGUUCAGCACGAUACCCUGAAGUGGUCUCAAACAAAAGAAAAUCUGGAAUUUCAAAAGGGGAAACUGUCAAAAAGUCAAAGAAGGGAGAGGUGAACUUCUGUCCUGAUCCAUCUGAAGGACACAGUCCUGAAAACAUGGAGGUGAAGCGCAAGAUAAUGGAGGCUGAAAUGCAGAAGAAAGACCCAAAUCAUCAGCUGCUUGAGGAUUUGAUGGUUGCUACAUUUUCUCAGCGUAGGAAAGACAUUGUAGGAGAUCAACCACACAUCACAGAGAUCAUCUCCUGAUGGCCUGCUCUGUUCCAUGAGAGACAGAUUAGGGCAGAAUUUACAAGAAUUGUCACCACAGACCUUCUGAAAUCUUUUCUUGACUGACUUGAUGGCCUGGUUUUGAGACUGCUGGAGGUCUACAAAGCAGCAACCAAAUCUGGAAAGAAGCAGCCACUCAAAGACAUUUUGGACUGCCUUGCAAAAGAUGACACAAAUGAAAGGAGAAGGGCUGCUGCUCUGCUUGGUUUGCCUCGCUACAUAUCUGGCGAAGAUCCAUCAACUGUCAUCAGGAUGUGUGAUGUAAGACUAACAAAAUUUCUUACAAAAACUGUUUACAUGUUUACCUAUUUCUCUUUCUUGCUAUCAUUUCUUUAAAAUCUUUUUGUAGCAUUUGUGUUUGCAAAAACAUAUUUUUAGUCCUUAUUAAGAGACAUCACUUCCUGUGUACUACAGCCAUGCAUAACAUCAAAUUCCGAUGUAAUUACUUUGUGUAUCCUUAUUAAUUUUGCUAAAAGCCAGUUGAUGGAAACAUGCCUGAUUUGCAUUUUCUUUCAUUUCUUUUGACAUUUUAAGAAUUUGAUGAUUAAAAAAAUGCAUUAAAAUGGAAACACUGCUGGUGUCCUACAUUUUUAGAAUAAUUUUAACUCUUCACAAUGGUGGUUUUUAAUCUGGUGAAGUUCUUAAUUGGAGCCUUUUAAGUACAUUUAUUUAUUGAGAUUUCAAUAAAAUUCUGUUUUAUUUGUCAAAUCGAUUUCUGUUUUUGUCAAUUUUGGUCCUCCAAUAAAUGUCAACACCUCUGCUUGUCUUGGACAAAUGUUUUCUUUUACACUUGAUUUAAGGCUUGUCUCAUAUUUGAUAGAGCAAGAUAAAAAUAAAUGUAUAAUAUUUGAAAUGGAAGUGUAUUUGGUGUAAUUAUUUUUAGGAAACUGGUGAA